rnacentral:rRNA from 1 species
AAACUUAAAUGAAUUGACGGGGACCCGCACAAGCGGUGGAUGAUGUGGAUUAAUUCGAUGCAACGCGAAAACCUUACCUACCCUUGACAUGUCUGGAAUCCUGGAGAGAUUUGGGAGUGCCCGAAAGGGAACCGGAACACAGGUGCUGCAUGGCUGUCGUCAGCUCGUGUCGUGAGAUGUUGGGUUAAGUCCCGCAACGAGCGCAACCCUUGUCGUUAAUUGCCAUCAUUUAGUUGGGCACUUUAACGAGACUGCCGGUGACAAACCGGAGGAAGGUGGGGAUGACGUCAAGUCCUCAUGGCCCUUAUGGGUAGGGCUUCACACGUCAUACAAUGGUCGGUACAGAGGGUUGCCAAGCCGCGAGGUGGAGCCAAUCCCAGAAAGCCGAUCGUAGUCCGGAUCGUAGUCUGCAACUCGACUGCGUGAAGUCGGAAUCGCUAGUAAUCGCGGAUCAGCAUGUCGCGGUGAAUACGUUCCCGGGUCUUGUACACACCGCCCGUCACACCAUGGGAGCGGGUUCCGCCAGAAGUAGGUAGCCUAACCGCAAGGGGGGCGCUUACCACGGCGGGGUUCGUGACUGGGGUGAAGUCGUAACAAGGUAGCCGUAGGGGAACCUGCGGCUGGAUCACCUCCUUUAUG